AUGUUGUAUGAGCAGUCUGGUCCUAAUGGAUUACGUGCCGGCACUUUGUUAACGAUCGUUCGAAGAUUUCACAUAAGAUGCCAUGGUUGCCUGGAUGAAGAGACUAGAUGGGAUAUUUCUGCAGUGAAAGCAUCUAUCACCGUGUCAGGACACAGCUUGCCGACAGAUGCACAAAAUCAAUGGAGACAAAUCACAGAUACUCAGAGACGCAGUUCAAAGCUCUGGAGGCCGGAGGCAGAGACGCGGAGUUGCUGAGGGUGCGUCCCUAGAAGGAGCUGGGUGGGGGCGGGAGAGGGGGCUGCUCUUCUGCUCAGGGGCAGUGCUGCCUCUACAAAUGCUGAACGCUACUGCGGCCUUUAUUGUAAAAGUGAACAACCUCUUGAGAUUUCUUUCCGUUAGCAAAAACAGCAGGUCCUAACGUAGGUCUUUGUAAAAGCAAAGUAGCCUAACUACUGAAGGCCUGAGCUUUCGAAACGCGGGGGACACCUGAACCCAAGGAUUUCUACCCUUACCUCUACCUAUGUUCCCAGGCUCGGCUCUCAGUGUCCUCAGCCCUCCCUGCUCCCCCUGGGUCCCCCCUUGUAAGUGCCAGCUUCAGGCCUAUGGUGGGUGCUGCCUGGAUCACCCCUCACAUUUUCCCAUCUCCCAUCCUUACUGAAGGUCUUAUAUGGGAAGGAAGACUUUCCCGCGAUAGAGGGUCCCUAUCAGUCUUCCCAAUUCCCUUUCUCCUACAUAAACUCAGAAUCAACUUCUUCUUUUAAACAGAUGUUUAUUCAUUUUGACAAAAAAUGAGAGAGAGUGUGCGCAUGAGAGCAGGAGGGGCAGAGAGAGAGAGAGAGACAGAAUCCCAAGCUAUCAGCGCAGAGCCCAGCAUGGAGCUCGAGCCCACAAACUGCGGGAUCAUGACCUGAGCCGAAAUCAAGAGUCACUUAACCGACUGAGCCACCCAGGCGCCCCCCGAAUCCACUCCUUUUUUUCUAUAGCUCUGAGAAAGUCAAUGCACAGGGUUAUUCUGGUUCUUGUCCAUGUAUUGGAAUUCUUUGCGUGGAUUCAUCUUGCAGAUGUCAGAGUUACUUCGUUGUAAGACAAGGAUAAUUCAACAACUAUUUAUUAAAUUGUGUAUGCUGCUUCCCCCCAAGUUUACUCGAUGGAAAAUCUUAAUGUGCCUGAAAACAGAAGUUCAGGGGCCCUUUCAGAUAAGAACAGAUGAAUCUUGAAGGUCAGAGCACUGGGGAGAAAUGUGUGUGAGCUGAAG
rnacentral:lncRNA from 1 species